GAUGAACGCUGGCGGCGUGCCUAAUACAUGCAAGUCGAGCGAAGCGGGGACGGGUGAGUAACACGUGGAUAACCUCCUAUAAGACUGGGAUAACUUAGGGAAACCGGAGCUAAACCGGAUAAUUAAAGUUGGUACUGUGCUGCAUUAGUUAGUGGGAAGGGAAACGGCUUACCAAGGCAACGAUGCAUAGCCGACCUGAGAGGGUGAUCGGCCACACUGGAACUGAUACACGGUCCAGACUCCUACGGGAGGCAGCAGUAGGGAAUCUUCCGCAAGGGGCGAAAGCCUGACGUAGCCACGCCGCGUGAGUGAUGAAGGUCUUCGGAUCGUAAAACUCUGUUAUUAGGGAAGCGGUACCUAAUCAGAAAGCCACGGCUAACUACGUGCCAGCAGCCGCGGUAAUAC
rnacentral:rRNA from 1 species